rnacentral:rRNA from 1 species
AAUCAACGCUGGCGGCGUGCCUCAGACAUGCAAGUCGAACGCGAAAUUUCCCUUCGGGGAGAAAGUAGAGUGGCGCACGGGUGAGUAACACGUAGGUAAUCUACCUUUGGGUGGGGAAUAACAGCCGGAAACGGCUGCUAAUACCGCAUAAUGCAGCGGCUCGACAUCGAGACAGUUGUUAAAGCGGGGGAUUCCGAAAGGAACCUCGCGCCUAAAGAGGAGCCUGCGGCAGAUAGCUAGUUGGUAGGGUAACGGCCUACCAAGGCGACGAUCUGUAACCGGCCUGAGAGGGCGGUCGGUCACACUGACACUGACAUACGGGUCAGACUCCUACGGGAGGCAGCAGUCGGGAAUUUUGGGCAAUGGGCGAAAGCCUGACCAGCAACGCCGCGUGAAGGAUGAAAUCCCUCGGGAUGUAAACUUCGCAAGAAUGGGAAGAAUAAGUAGAAGAUAAUACCUUACUAUUGAU